rnacentral:tRNA from 1 species
AAGGCCUUAGCUUAAUUAAAGUGUUUGGGUUGCAUUCAGAUGAUGUAGGAUAAAGUCUUACAGGUCUUA